rnacentral:misc_RNA from 1 species
AACGCACAUUGCACUCUUUGGUAUUCCGAGGAGUAUGCCUGUUUGAGAACCGUUAAUUCCUCACUCCCCAAAGUAUUUUGUAAUGAAGUACAGCGGGUGGUGGAUUUGGUUUAUCCCAAGAUUUGUUUUUUGGGUGAACUGAAAUGGAGGGUCCGGAGCUUUUGUUCAUGAAACCUUGAGGGGUUUCACGUCAAAUUAGAUACCUGCUUCUGAGAAACGCUUCUUAGCAUCUUUUGGAUAAAAUGUGAGGUCUUUGCUGGUCUCCUUUCCUCUAAGAGUGCGGAAAGCUGUAAAGUUGCAACCUUUGAAACGACGUGAUUCAUUCCAAACUCUCUUAGAUUCUGCCCUUUAAAAUGGGUGCAAAAGUAUACGGCUCGUGUUAUACAUGCCAGGCGCCUUGAGUAAUUUUUCUCAAGGUGAACACCUGAACUUUGGUCUCAAAUCAAGCAAGAGAACCCGCUGAACUUAA